GUGGAUUAGAUACCCGGGUAGUCCACACCGUAAACGUUGGGCGCUAGGUGUGGGAUCCAUUCCACGGGUUCCGUGCCGCAGCUAACGCAUUAAGCGCCCCGCCUGGGGAGUACGGCCGCAAGGCUAAAACUCAAAGGAAUUGACGGGGGCCCGCACAAGCGGCGGAGCAUGCGGAUUAAUUCGAUGCAACGCGAAGAACCUUACCUGGGUUUGACAUACACCCUGCCGCUCCAGAGAUGGGGCUUCUUGUGGGGGUGUACAGGUGGUGCACGGCUGUCGCCAGCU
rnacentral:rRNA from 1 species